rnacentral:rRNA from 1 species
GGUUCUCUCCGAAAUAGCUUUAGGGCUAGCCUCAAGUGAUGAUUAUUGGAGGUAGAGCACUGUUUGGACGAGGGGCCCCUCUCGGGUUACCGAAUUCAGACAAACUCCGAAUGCCAAUUAAUUUAACUUGGGAGUCAGAACAUGGGUGAUAAGGUCCGUGUUCGAAAGGGAAACAGCCCAGACCACCAGCUAAGGUCCCAAAAUAUAUGUUAAGUGGAAAAGGAUGUGGCGUUGCCCAGACAACUAGGAUGUUGGCUUAGAAGCAGCCAUCAUUUAAAGAGUGCGUAAUAGCUCACUAGUCGAGUGACACUGCGCCGAAAAUGUACCGGGGCUAAACAUAUUACCGAAGCUGUGGAUUGUCCUUUGGACAAUGGUAGGAGAGCGUUCUAAGGGCGUUGAAGCAUGAUCGUAAGGACAUGUGGAGCGCUUAGAAGUGAGAAUGCCGGUGUGAGUAGCGAAAGACGGGUGAGAAUCCCGUCCACCGAUUGACUAAGGUUUCCAGAGGAAGGCUCGUCCGCUCUGGGUUAGUCGGGUCCUAAGCUGAGGCCGACAGGCGUAGGCGAUGGAUAACAGGUUGAUAUUCCUGUACCACCUAUAAUCGUUUUAAUCGAUGGGGGGGACGCAGUAGGAUAGGCGAAGCGUGCGAUUGGAUUGCACGUCUAAGCAGUAAGGCUGAGUAUUAGGCAAAUCCGGUACUCGUUAAGGCUGAGCUGUGAUGGGGAGAAGACAUUGUGUCUUCGAGUCGUUGAUUUCACACUGCCGAGAAAAGCCUCUAGAUAGAAAAUAGGUGCCCGUACCGCAAACCGACACAGGUAGUCAAGAUGAGAAUUCUAAGGUGAGCGAGCGAACUCUCGUUAAGGAACUCGGCAAAAUGACCCCGUAAC